rnacentral:misc_RNA from 1 species
UACGUAGGGCGCAAGCGUUAUCCGGAAUUAUUGGGCGUAAAGAGCUCGCAGGCGGCUUGUUGCGUCUGCCGUGAAAGUCCGGGGCUCAACCCCGGAUCUGCGGUGGGUACGGGGAGGCUAGAGUGUUGUAGGGAAGACUGGAAUUCCUGGUGUAGCGGUGAAAUGCGCAGAUAUCAGGAGGAACACCGGUGGCGAAGGCAGGUCUCUGGGCAUUAACUGACGCUGAGGAGCGAAAGCAUGGGGAGCGAACAGG